GUGGUGGCUGUUGAACUUGUGUGGUCCAAAACAAUUGACUUUUCCCUCUGCGUGAUUCUGGAGAAAAGAUUGGACUCUGCAGCCGAAAAAUAUAAGCAGCGCACGAAAAAGGCCCGCUUUCCGGCUUUCGUGUUCUGCAAGAGCCGAAUCAUCAGGAGACAACGGCCAUUUCUUAAAUAAAAAAAGAAAAAUAAAAAUAAAACGCACAUGUCUGCGUUAUAUUCCUCAAAUGCUACCGCAUCUUCUCCUUUUUUAAAUCCUCCUUCUUUUGUCUCCUCCUCCGCCAUUAACAUUUCUAGAUUCUCAAAACCUCAUUUCCUGCUUUGUCCACCGUCUUUUUCACCGAUUCGCCAUCGCCGUCCUUUAGUUCUUUGCUUCUCUUCUCUCUCCGAUAUGGAUGGCACGCCUGGUCAGAGUCUGUACCCGUUGCACCGUACUAAAACUAUUCAUCUGGUUAGGCAUGCACAGGGGAUUCACAAUGUUGCAGGAGACAAAGACUAUAGCGCUUAUUUAUCUGAAGAACUUUUUGAUGCUCACCUUACUCCACUUGGAUGGGAACAGGUUGAUAAUCUGCACAACCAUGUUAAAAAAUGUGGGCUGAAUAAGAGAAUCGAAUUGGUUAUCGUUUCCCCUUUGUUAAGGACCAUGCAAACAGCAGUUGGAGUUUUUGGUGGUGGGUAUACUGACGGCAUUGAGGCUCCUCCAUUGAUGAUGGCAAAUGCGGGGAAAAGUGAUCGUCUGGCAAUUUCAAGCAUAAAUUGCCCUCCGUUUGUAGCAGUUGAGCUUUGUCGAGAACAUUUGGGUGUUCAUCCAUGUGACAGAAGAAGAAGCAUCACUGAGUAUAGACCUCUUUUUCCUGCAAUUGAUUUUUCCCUGAUUGACAGUGAUGCUGACAUUUUGUGGACGGCUGAUGUCAGAGAGGAGAAUGAAGAAGUUGCAGCCAGAGGGCAAAAGUUUUUGAACUGGUUGUGGACUCGGAAAGAAAACGAGAUUGCAGUUGUUACGCACAGUGGAUUCCUAUAUCAUACAUUAAGUGCUUUUGGAAGUGAUUGCCAUCCAUCUGUGAAGAGUGAAAUAUGCACGCACUUUAAAAAUUGUGAGCUCCGAUCGGUGGUUAUUGUUGAUAGAGGAAUGGUGGGGUCAGAUUCUGCAACAACUAAUUAUCCUGGAAAAGUCCCUCAUGGCCUUGAUCUUCCUAGUGAUGUUGCAGCAGAGAAGCAUCCAGAGGCCGGGAGUGUCUGAACAAUCAUUUAUUCCAUUGAAUUCAAUACGAAAAGGUUUGCAUUUCUCCAUCAAAUGAUUACUCAAAAAAAAAAAACAAAAAAAAAAAAAAAAAAAUUAUUGAGAGAGUUACUUCAAUACCCCACAGAAGAACUAGGUCGUGAAUUCACUAGUUCAGUUGAGUUCAGUUAGGACAACACAUUAUUCCUUAAAAGGAGAUUGAUAGGCACUGAUUUUUUCUAGACUCAGUUCAGCAUUUGUGUUGGCUUGGACCAAAUUUUAUUUUGUAUUACCAUAUACGUAAACAAGUAUGUGGAAGUUGCGUAUUGUUUCAAGUUUACAUCUUUAAUGUUUUGUUAUGAUGUACUGUUAACAUUGCAAAAUUCUACUUUCAGACAUUCAAACGUUAGAAA